rnacentral:rRNA from 2 species
AUGAUUUACAUUUGAGUGAGUGGCGAACUGGUGAGUAACACGUGGGAAACCUGCCCAGAAGCGGGGGAUAACACCUGGAAACAGAUGCUAAUACCGCAUAACAACUUGGACCGCAGGGUCCGAGUUUGAAAGAUGGCUUCGGCUAUCACUUUUGGAUGGUCCCGCGGCGUAUUAGCUAGAUGGUGAGGUAACGGCUCACCAUGGCAAUGAUACGUAGCCGACCUGAGAGGGUAAUCGGCCACAUUGGGACUGAGACACGGCCCAAACUCCUACGGGAGGCAGCAGUAGGGAAUCUUCCACAAUGGACGAAAGUCUGAUGGAGCAACGCCGCGUGAGUGAAGAAGGGUUUCGGCUCGUAAAACUCUGUUGUUAAAGAAGAACAUAUCUGAGAGUAACUGUUCAGGUAUUGACGGUAUUUAACCAGAAAGCCACGGCUAACUACGUGCCAGCAGCCGCGGUAAUACGUAGGUGGCAAGCGUUGUCCGGAUUUAUUGGGCGUAAAGCGAGCGCAGGCGGUUUUUUAGUCUGAUGUGAAAGCCUUCGGCUC